UCUGCAAUAGCUCAGUGGCAGAGCAGAUGUACAUAUCUGUCGUAGGUUCGAUUCCUACUUGUGGAGCCA
rnacentral:tRNA from 1 species